GACGAACGCUGGCGGCGUGCCUAACACAUGCAAGUCGAACGGAACUUCUUUAAAGGAUUUCUUCGGAAUGAAUUUGAUUAAGUUUAGUGGCGGACGGGUGAGUAACGCGUGAGUAACCUGCCUCUAAGAGGGGAAUAACAUUCUGAAAAGAAUGCUAAUACCGCAUAACAUACAUUUAUCGCAUGGUAGAUAUAUCAAAGAUUUAUCGCUUAGAGAUGGACUCGCGUCCGAUUAGUUAGUUGGUGAGGUAACGGCUCACCAAGACCGCGAUCGGUAGCCGGACUGAGAGGUUGAACGGCCACAUUGGGACUGAGACACGGCCCAGACUCCUACGGGAGGCAACAGUGGGGGAUAUUGCGCAAUGGGGGAAACCCUGACGCAGCAACGCCGCGUGAAGGAUGAAGGUCUUCGGAUUGUAAACUUCUUUUAUUAAGGACGAAGAAAGUGACGGUACUUAA
rnacentral:rRNA from 1 species